UAUGUAGGGUCCGAGCGUUGUCCGGAAUUAUUGGGCGUAAAGAGCGUGUAGGCGGUCCGGUAAGUCCGCUGUGAAAGUCGGGGGCUCAACCCUCGAAUGCCGGUGGAUACUGUCGGGCUUGAGUACGGAAGAGGCGAGUGGAAUUCCUGGUGUAGCGGUGAAAUGCGCAGAUAUCAGGAGGAACACCAAUUGCGAAGGCAGCUCGCUGGGACGUUACUGACGCUGAGACGCGAAAGCGUGGGGAGCAAACAGG
rnacentral:rRNA from 1 species